CAAACAUUGUCUUAUGGUCAAAAUAUUAGAUAAUACCUGCCCAGUGACACUCUGUUCAACGGCCGCGGUAUCCUAACCGUGCAAAGGUAGCAUAAUCACUUGCCUAUUAAUUGUAGGCUAGAAUGAAGGGGUUAACGAAAUAAAAGCUGUCUCAAUUAAUUAACUAAAAAUUAUUUUCUAUCUGAAGAAAGGUAGAUAAUCUCGAAGGACAAGAAGACCCUAUAGAGCUUAAUUUUAAUUAUAGAAUUAUACUGUAUAAAUAUUCGGUUGGGGCGACCCAGGGCUAAUUAAUCACCCAUUAAACAAAAGAUAAAUAAAUCUAAUAAAUGACCCUCUAAAGAUCAUAAAAACAAGCUACCUUAGGGAUAACAGGCUAAUCCCACUUAAGAGUCCUUAUCAAUAGUGGGGUUUGGCACCUCGAUGUUGGCUUAGGGUAUCUAUAUAGCGCAAAAGUUAUAUAAAGAUGGUUUGUUCAACCAAUAAUUCCCUACGUGAUUUUU
rnacentral:rRNA from 1 species